rnacentral:lncRNA from 1 species
UACAAGUAAUAUACUAUGCAGCAUUUUUAAGCCAGCUUCAAAUGAAACAGGUGUUGCAUGGCUGUCGUCAGCUUGUGUCGUGAGAUGUUGGGUUCAAAUUGUCCCGCAACGAGCGCAACCCCUACGCGUCUGUCAAGCGUGCAGUGGACUCCCCAUUGAUAUGGAGAUGCUAGAAAGCCUGAAUUCACGCAAAGUUAGGCACGCUCUCCUGGCAAAGAUUUGAAAAGUGCGGAGAGAUUUACUGCAGCACUGGACUUGCAUUCAAGCAGUGAUUUGAUUCUGCUUGCAUGUGCGCCCCUUGACGUGUAUAUAUUCCUGGUGGGGGAAAAAAAACGAAUGUUGCCGGCUAGUAGUGCGACCGGUGCAACAGGUAACAUCGUAGGUAUUGUCUUGCCAUGGUUGCAGCUGGGAACACCUACGCAGGCCGGACGAAGAAAACUGGUAGUAGUUUAAUAGUAUCUAGUUGUUGGUACUAAACUUGUCAUUUUCGGCAACCUCCAGAUGCAGAAUGGCAAUACUCGGCUUCCUUUCGCCCAUGCCUAACAACGGCAACGUAUAGGGCAAAGGCCAACCUCAAGGCAAUAGCAGUCGGCUUGCCUGUGCGCUCAGUUGUAACCAG